rnacentral:tRNA from 1 species
UAAAGUGAAAUCAUUUGAUGAUUCUUUUACAAAGAAUUUUUGCUUAACGCCUCUUUAA